UGCUAAUACCGUAUAACAACUGAAACCGCAUGGUUUCAGUUUGAAAGAUGGUUUCGGCUAUCACUUCUGGAUGGACCCGCGGCGUAUUAGCUAGUUGGUGGAGUAAUGGUUCACCAAGACAAUGAUACGUAGCCGACCUGAGAGGGUAAUCGGCCACAUUGGGACUGAGACACGGCCCAAACUCCUACGGGAGGCAGCAGUAGGGAAUCUUCCACAAUGGACGAAAGUCUGAUGGAG
rnacentral:ncRNA from 1 species